CGAACGAGUCGGGUCGGAAUAGGUCGCUGAAUAGUUCGAACGCGGAUACGUAUGUAUCUAAUCUACGUUGCAUCGUGUAAUUAAGGAUACCUUAUAUUCAUUUUGUACGUCUCUCCUUUGCUUCCUCUUCCUCUGCUCUGUAAUUUCUGAGGAUGUAUUAUUUAUCAUAGAUAUUUAUUUGAUGGGAAGAAGAAAAGUAUACAUUCAUCCAUGUAUCGGAUUUCUCAUCGUGUUGAUGUAUACAUAUAUGUAUAUAUAUAAGUAUAUGCAGAGGUUAACGAGAUGCCUCCCCACGCAAGAAAAACCCGAUCGACGAUGUAAAAAUAACGAACGUUUUCUACACAUCGUCGAGUAACCAGUACGACAUGCGUAUUUUGCACUUCCUCGUCAUCACCGACGCGAUCUCUCUGUCAUUACAAUGUAAUUGUAAUUUACGACCGAGAAGAGAUUGGAGAGGAACAAAUUAGCAAAAGAAAGAAGUUAAUAGAUAUAUAUUAGCUAAUGUUCGAGAGACGCCACACCGAGGAUCAUUGAUCAAUGAUUCGCAAGUAAACAGACGAUCUUCUUAUUUAAAAGAGCACCUCUCUAGAAAUUACGACGGCAUCUAGACUGCAAGUCGCGUCAUAAAUCAAGAAAGAUGAUGUGCAUGAUUGAAACGACGGGAGGCUCCGCAGGGGUUAAUACACCGAGGGUGUAUGUGCAACAGCGGCCGGCUUCUCGGAGAUAUUCGAAGCCGAGAGUGUGGUCCAUGCUACGUCCUCUCUCUACUUAUCUUCGUGAUAGAGGAAAGGUAGGCAAGAAGACGAAGAAAAUGUGUGGGAGCACACACGUAAGUAAGAGUACCUAUAUAUGCAUAUAUGCAUGGGCGUCCGCAGGAUUUUUUC